GACGAACGCUGGCGGCGUGCUUAACACAUGCAAGUCGAGCGAGGCCCAUCCUUCGGGGUGGUGCCCUAGCGGCGAACGGGUGAGUAACACGUGGGCAACCUGCCCUCAGCUCUGGGAUAACUCCAAGAAAUUGGUGCUAAUACCGGAUGUGACCGCUGACCGCAUGGUCUGGUGGUGGAAAGAUUCAUCGGCUGAGGAUGGGCCCGCGGCCUAUCAGCUUGUUGGUGGGGUAAUGGCCCACCAAGGCGACGACGGGUAGCCGGCCUGAGGGGGUGACCGGCCACACUGGGACUGAGACACGGCCCAGACUCCUACGGGAGGCAGCAGUGGGGAAUAUUGCGCAAUGGGCGAAAGCCUGAAGCAGCGACGCCGCGUGAGGGAUGACGGCCUUCGGGUUGUAAACCUCUUUCAGUAGGGACGAAGCGAAAGUGACGGUACCUACAGAAGAAGCACCGGCCAACUACGUG
rnacentral:rRNA from 1 species